rnacentral:sRNA from 1 species
GAACCAUCAUUAAAAAUAAGGUUUGAAAAAAUUAAAGUUACAAUAGAUGAUUGCGAGCCACUUUGUGAUGGUGGGACUCAAACCCAAGCCAGCCAGAGUUACACAGUGAGACCUUGUCAGAUGGGGAAGUGGAGUAGGAGACAGGAGACAAAGCAAGAAAGUAGAUGGAACAGAAAGCAGAGCGGGUGGUUAACGUGUCAUUUUACAUUUCUUUGAGAGCUAUUUAGACCGGUAAGCGAGGUUUUGUGGGCCUCCUUUCCUUGAGGCAAACCGGAAAAAAAAAAUUUCCACCAUGCUACGAGCAUUCAAACAAAUGGUCAGCUCGUAGUCCACCCAGGCUCUGGAGGCAUGAGGCUCUUCCUGCCUUUUUAUCAGCAUUAGCUACUUCUGAGACUGCACUGGCCAGUCUUCUCCUGCUAGCAGUGGUCGGGUAUAAAAGAGUCAGGGAAGGUAGGGAAGGAAGUUGCUCUAGGGCGCAUGGUGGAUACUGCGGGUGCCGUGCCGGUGCAGGUGCAAGAGCUGCAGCUCUGAGUUAGUUGCCCGUAUGAGGAUGCCAGAACCGGGACUCGGGAAACUGCGGCGUGCUUCAGGCAAGUCCGGCUCAGAAACGCCACAGCCUAGGGACGGCUGCCUUUUUGCACCUGCGCAGAGAGCCUGGAAGGCAGAGACGACGCACAGCCUCACACCGCACCCCUGCGCUAGGUUUCUGAGGGUCUGAGUGCUCCACAGGAAGCGGAAAUAUUUUCGAGGCUUCAGAUCGCCUCUUCUUACCCUUUCACGGAGGAGCCAGGGAAGCCAGCAUUUACCGCACCUGGAGUGGAUUACAGUUCUUCUCAUGCAGUUGUGUGUCUGGAAUGGAAACCCUGACAUCUAAGGCAGGACAUUUCAGAAGAACUGGGAUGGCUCUUGGCAUCAUUGGGAGAACCUGAAAGGGAAUACUAAGGGGACAGAGCUACAGAAUUUCCCAUCUGAGGAACUUGUACUUGUGGGGAAGUUGAUCAGAAACACCAGAGUCUGAAUUCUUCAGGCAGCUGAAUCUUGGUUCAAAGUAAGUUAAAAAGAAUUACAUAGAAGAGAAAUUCAACUCUGAAAUUCAAAACAUAUGUCAUUGAAUACCCUGAUGUAAACUUAGGAAAACAAAUGAAAGGACAGACUUUUUUCUAGUUAUUUGUUGACAUUCAGUCAUUCAGUCAUUCAUUUAUUUCUGGGGAGCUUCAGGCAGCUGAGGAGAUUUGUACACUGUCUUGGGUGAACAGACUACAACCAGGAACCAAGAAGCAUGUGGGGAACAUGUUGCAGGUUCAGCUUCAGAACACAUUGAGUCAUUUCAACAAAAACUGUGAUAAUUAAAGAGGAAAAAUUACAUUUAGCCCAGAUAUAAAAUGGGGAUAAGACUGAGCUCUUUUGGAAGUCAAUGCCAGAGAACACUCAGGUAAGAUAUCUGCCUACCAGGGAGGAAAAUAAACAAAGGGUGGCUGUCUGCUCCUAUGUGUGCAAAUACAGGUGUGACUCAUAAAUCAACAUCAGUUGUCACUGUAAAAGGAAAGGUGCCCAAAAGUGUGAAAGAAGACACAAGUACAUCAUCCGUGAUAUAUAAACCUGGUAAAGACGUUUGGUUCACAAGAGAAUUGUUUAGAAUGGUUCUUUCAAAAUUUUGCUCAGCAUUUCCAACUUAAUGAUCUAGGAUUUCAUGAGGAAGAUAGGGCAUUGGUACUUCUGGACAACUCUCCAGUUCACCCUUCUGCGGAACCAUCAGCCAGUGAGGAUGGUAGAAUAAGAUACACGUUCUCUCCCCCUAAUACUUCUACUUUGAGUCAACCAGUGAAUCAAGCUGUAACCUUGAGCUGCAAAGAACUUUAGAGAUGGAAACAACUUGAAGAGAGUCUUAGAAACUUUGGAGAAAGUGAGGAUGAACAGGAAAAAGAAAGAGAAGGGAAUUUCCAAGAUUAAGAUGUAGAAUGUGAAAAGUGCACUUUUUAACUGGGAUGAAGUAAAACAAUUAACAGUAGCAGACGCAUGGGAAAUCUCCUUUACAAAGAAGAAACUGUGUGACCUUCAAGGGCAAGAGCGUGGGAGCUAGAGGGAUCCUUGAGAAAGGUGCAGAAACCAAGCUGGGCAUGGAGGAUAUGGUUAAAUGAAGAUGAUGAAGAGAAAGGUUGUUUCUCCCCGCCUCUCUCCACCCUUCACCCCUGAAAACCCAAAAGGUGAGACAGUAAAGGAAGCUGUGCAAAGGACGGAGCUGGAAAUUGGACAGGAAUUUAAGUUCCACACUGGACUACAUUCUUAACUUUCCUGAUGCCAUACCUGAAUUUUAAAUACUUCAUUUCACACUAAGAGAUGCAACAAAAAUAUAGCCAAGAAAGAACUGGAGAGUAAAAUCCUUUUAAGAAUUGGUAGGUUUUUGAAAACUAGACUUCCUAAUAUUAAGGAUACUGUCAAUAUGCCUUCAACUUCUGGUUCUAGUAAUCAGACUAUGUAAAGGUAAUUGGAAUAUAUGAUACUGUUGAUACCGUUUUUAAUCAAACAUUAUUUUCAUAUCAAUGCUCACUUAUGCAUUGGCUAGAAUAUAGUUUGAAAAUAAAUGUGAAUUCCCAUAAAUGUAUGAAUAUCAUUUUCUAUUUACAAAUCAAGGAUAUGAAUAAUGAAUUAUCAUCCUAAAUUAUAUAAAUUGUAAUGGCUAUGCUAAAAACAUAGGUUUAAAUUCUACCAUGUAAUUUUGGCUAAUACACAUUAGUACUAUGCACCAAGCAAGACCUUUGUUUCAUUCUCCAGAAUUAAAAAAUAGUAACGUACGUCACAUAAAGGAGGAAGGGGCUCCUCCUAAGCCCCUAGAAGGAACUCAUAAUGAGCUAAGCUGGCCACGAACAGAUUUAUGACUGCCUACAUGGUCUUAUUACCCAUAGGGAAGUACAACCAAAGAGAAUUAAAAUAUUACAAGACGGGAGCUAGACAGUUGGCUCAGUGGUUAAGAACACUGGCUGGGGCUGGAGAGAUGGCUCAGCGGUUAAGAGCACUGACUGCUUUUCCAGAGGUCCUGAGUUCAAUUCCCAGCAACCACAUGGUGGUUCACAACCAUCUGUAAUGAGGUCUGAUGCCCUCUUCUGGUGCGUCUGAAGAUAGCGUACAGUGUACUCAUAUACAUAUAAUAAAUAAAUAUUAAAGAACAUUGGCUGUUCUCCAGGUGAUCCACGUUCAAUUUCUAGUCCCUAUAUGGUAGUCCGUUCUAGCCCAGGGGAUCUCAGCUCCCCCUGCACCAUGCCUGCCUGAAUGCUGCCAUGUUUCUGCCUUGAUGACAAUGGACUGAACCUCUGAACCUGUAAGCCAGCCAAGAAUUAAAUGUUGUCUUUAUAA